UACGGAGGGUGCAAGCGUUAUCCGGAUUCACUGGGUUUAAAGGGUGCGUAGGCGGGUAAGUAAGUCCGUGGUGAAAUCUCUGAGCUUAACUCAGAAACUGCCGUGGAUACUAUUUGCCUUGAAUAUUGUGGAGGUGAGCGGAAUAUGUCAUGUAGCGGUGAAAUGCUUAGAUAUGACAUAGAACACCAAUUGCGAAGGCAGCUCACUACACAAUCAUUGACGCUGCGGCACGAAAGCGUGGGGAUCAAACAGG
rnacentral:rRNA from 1 species